AAGGAAAGUGUUUCAAACAAUCCGAGCUAUUCAAUAACUUAAGAAAAGUUUCCAAUAACUAGGAAAGUUUACUGUAAUGUAGGCUUCUGCCCUUGCAAGAAUAGCAAUCUGAUCAAAGUUGAACAAUACUUCCCAGAAAUGUAAUAUGGCAUACAAACCAUGAGAAAUUGCAUAAGAUAUUAUUGCCCAAGUGCAACCACAAAGGGAAUGCCUAAAAUAAGAUGAAUAAAGGAGCAGCUGAAGUUUUUUUUUUCUAAUGUUGCAACUUUAGCUUUCCACAUUUUCAAAGGCAGGCAAGCCCCAAUAAGCUGGAUCAAAUUCCAGUAAUGAGCUCAAAAUUUGAUCUGCAGUUUCAUGAUGAGAGAUAUCUAGCCUUGGAUCUGGAACCAUUACAACGUGCAUUCCAGCAUUCUUAGCUGCAAGAACACCUGAGGGCGCAUCUUCAAAAACAAGAAUCUUCUUUGGAUCUACUGGGCUGCCCUCAAAUCUCCCAGCUGCAGCAAGGAAUAUAUCUGGUGAUGGCUUGCCUUUUUUAACUUCUGGGUCAUCUCCAAGAACAACAUGAUGCAUCAAGGAAAAAAGCUCACCAUGUCUUUGUGUUUUCAAUUCAAAAUGCCGCCUGUGAGAUCCAGUUGCCACGCAAAUUGGUAUCCCUUUUGCAUGGAGAUGCCUGACCAAAUGGCUAGCUCCUGGCAAAAGCUCACUUGUUGGAAACAUGUGUUGCAGCAUCUCCUCUCUUUCUACAAGAAAGUCCUCAGCUGAAAGAGAGUCACUUAUCCCAGUCUCCUGAACAAAAACCUGAGCUGCUUCUAUUGCUUUCCUCCCCAUCAUUUUUGCCUUGAGAGACCAAUCAAAGGUUUUAUUGUAUCUAGCAAGUAUGAUUUGCUGGACUUCAGUAUAAAAUUUCUCUGUGUCUUUUAUUCUUAACCCUUAACAAAGUUAGCAAAGUUGAAAAUUAUCCUUUCCUCAGAAAAGUUGUGAGCUUAAUCUAAAUUUUUGAGGUUCCUUGCAUCCAUCAAUUCACUUCAAUUCCACCAGGCACACAGAGAGGAAUAGCACAGUGCCUAAUAGCUCAAUGGGUAACCUCAGAAAUCCAAGCUGUCUUUUUCUUCAUGAGUUCUAUGUCCUUGCACGUGAUUCCCUCUACUCCCCACCACAUCCUCCAUAACCCCUUGCCCCUCCAAAAAUAUAGAAGCUUGCAACACAUUCUAUACUAAAUCGUUCUUAUUGUAGUUAGAAGAUAUUAUAACAGUAUUGUAUUUUUCACCCCGAAAUAAUCCAAGAGUGUUGAGGGAUUAUUGCAUAAACAGAGCAGUAAAAAUGCCAAUCGAAGAUGACAUGAGUGAUGAAAUGCACAUAAAGAGGCAGUCCAAUGAAUGAAGAGGAAGUAUUCGAUGAAAUUACCGAGUAAGAGACCAUCCAUGUCGAAGAUUACGUGAGUGAUGGGUCCUUUUACUGAAGGGGUAGUGGAGAAAUUGGCCAUUUGAAAAAUCGUGAUUGAGAAGCAAUGGUGAACGGCCGCAAUGCGAAGGUGAACGACGGCUUCAAAUGGCUUCAGCUACCGUGGGGAAGAAUUUAAAUAAAUCAUUUAACUUGACGAGGUUUUAAAUGAACACUGAUCAAUUUUUAAUGACUUAAAAGGAGAUUUCGCCUUUUUUAUGCUUUGUUUGGUGGG
rnacentral:misc_RNA from 1 species